rnacentral:rRNA from 1 species
CGCUUAACACAUGCAAGUCGGACGGGGCAUGAUUGGGUAGCAAUACUUGAUCAUGCUUAGUGGCGGACGGGUGAGUAACACGUAGGUAACCUACCCUUGAGAGGGGGGCAACUCAGGGAAACCUGGGCUAAUACCCCAUAAGACCACGCACUGGGAUGUUAGUGGUAAAAAGUAGAGAUACGCUUAAGGAUGGGCCUGCGGCCUAUUAGCUAGUUGGUAGGGUAAAGGCCUACCAAGGCAGUGAUGGGUAGCUGGUGGAAGAGGAUGGACACCCACACUGGGACUGAGACACGGCCCAGACUCCUACGGGAGGCAGCAGUGAGGAAUCUUGCGCAAUGGGGGGAACCCUGACGCAGCGACGUCGCGUGGUGGUUUAAGGCCUUCGGGUUGUAAACUCC